GGGAGGUAUCCCUGCCCUACCCGCGUCGUUUCCCUGGGGAAACGUUCCACCCCUCCAGGGGUCAGGGAGAGAAGCCACGGCUCGAGCGAGACCGCGAGCGCAGCGACCGAAAGGCGACGACAGCCAAGAUCCAGUCCUUCGCCUCCGAGUUUCUCCGGCAGCGACCGGAGAGACGGACCGCCCCCUCCCUCCGGUGCUCUGCCUGCAUGCUCCGCCCACCAGCGACCGCGACGGCCGUGGUCGUCACCCUCCUCCUUCCCCAGAUCUACCCUCCCCCUCGAAGUUCCUGCCCCUCCGGUGACGGCAACGGCGACGGUUCCACGGUCAACUUCCACCUACUUCCACCAAGAGGCUGUCUAGGUGCUGUUUUGGUGUUUCCCGUGGUGCACAUGUGUGCUGCCUUUCCUACAGUGCUCUGAACCUCUGACAUUAGCAAAUGAUUUGCUUUAUCCGAAAAUGCUAGGUGGUGGCGGCGGCAUUGUGUUCAGUGGCUAAGUGCAUUUUGGUUCGUUGGUCAUUGAAAAUAUUUCACCUGAUGAAAGUUAGACGGCAUUGACUCGCAGACCUUGAUUAAGCAAGAAACACAACGCAUGGAUAGUACUCCCAGCUUGCCAAGUGCCAAUUAGUAACAGCAAACUUACUCAUCAGGAAAGUAACUUGUUACAACUCCUUAUGGACUCCUACUAGUAAUUUUGUAUGUGUUGCUGAAUUUGCCGGGACACUCAAACACCUUGAUAUUUCUUUACUUUCUUUUCUUUGUUGCUUCAGUUAGAAUAUGCUACCAUUCAAGUGACCUUCUAGCAAUCUGGUUGACAAAUGACAAACCUUUUUAGUUUCGACAUCGGUUUCACGGGAUGACACACUAGAGUAAAGACUAGCUACCUGCUAGGACGACAGUUUUACACCGAUGUUAAUUUUCCUUUCUUGCGAAUAAUUGCAGGGUCUUGCUUAAGCAAGAGAAAGUACUGCCAAGUAUCAACUAGCUAGUUACAGAUUCACUCAUCAGGGAAGUAACUUGUAACAGCAGUGGAGUGCGGGCAUGUGCCAUAUAUCUAUUAGUAAUUUAGUACUUUCAUCGUGCUUGUGCUAGCUCCAGGUUUGAAUUUUCCUUAGCACACUAUUUUUAGAAGUGAUGCUUACUGUUGGUUAGGGUCUUCUGAAGAACAAUAACAAUUUUUUAUAUUUGUUGCACAAGUUCUACUAUGCAUUCAUUUACACUUACGACACUGCCGGAGAAUACAUUGUUUGUGAAUUGUUUGUUAGACUGCCUUACAUCCUUUUAUAGAUAGACGCCUUUAAUUCUCUGCACUAAAAAGUCCAUGUUUGUUUUGUCCUUACUUUCCCCAUUAUACAUUUUUUGUCCCCAUUUUUACUAAUUUUGGAAUUAUAUAUUGACGGGAAGCUUGACAAUAAUGAUCUAUUGCUUAUCAUCUUCCUUUCUUCUGUCCUUACUUAUUUAGUAAUUAUUACUGAAAUGUAUGACACAAUAACCAGAAAUAGAAGUUAGUAUUCUGGCUCUUAUCUUUUUUUCUCAACAAGUUCUGCUGAUUGUUAUUAAAAAUCUAAGCUAUAGUCAUCAUGUGCUCAUGUAAUUGUUACAAUUCUCAGUUGGAUACAUGGUGCUAACUUCCUUUUUUUGUAGUUCAACGAACAUCGAGUUGUGGUACCUGAUGUAGAUGCGGAGUGGAGAAAAGACCUGAGUAGGACUAGUGAUUUUCACCUUGCAGCCCAUCCUAUUCGAAAGUGUCUAUGCCUCGGACAUGACCAUUUGAUAAUUCAGAAUUUUUGUAGUGAACAAACUUAAACAAUGAUGCAUCAAUGCCAAUUGUAUUGAUUGAUUUUAUGUUGGAACACGAAAAAAGGUUUAGCUCACCGCUUAAUCGGAAUGAAAUGUGGACCGAUGGGUAUUUGAACCUUGGUGAAGUGAUGGAUAUCAGUUGUAUUUUUUUAAUAAAAUUAUAGUUUACAUGAA